rnacentral:lncRNA from 1 species
UUUACAGAUCCUGUAGUAGAAGGGGAGGAGCAAAGCUUAAUGAAGUCUUUUAGAGCUGGGCUCACAACCAGCCUUCAAAGAGUUGGAACUAUCCAACCGAAGCCCGGAACACAAACUGUAGCAGAGUGCACAUACACUGUGGUUGUAUCUAGUUGCAAUGCUGAGAAAUGA